GGCUCAGGACGAACGCUGGCGGCGUGCCUAAUACAUGCAAGUCGAACGCUUCUUUUUCCACCGGAGCUUGCUCCACCGGAAAAAGAGGAGUGGCGAACGGGUGAGUAACACGUGGGUAACCUGCCCAUCAGAAGGGGAUAACACUUGGAAACAGGUGCUAAUACCGUAUAACAAUCGAAACCGCAUGGUUUUGAUUUGAAAGGCGCUUUCGGGUGUCGCUGAUGGAUGGACCCGCGGUGCAUUAGCUAGUUGGUGAGGUAACGGCUCACCAAGGCCACGAUGCAUAGCCGACCUGAGAGGGUGAUCGGCCACAUUGGGACUGAGACACGGCCCAAACUCCUACGGGAGGCAGCAGUAGGGAAUCUUCGGCAAUGGACGAAAGUCUGACCGAGCAACGCCGCGUGAGUGAAGAAGGUUUUCGGAUCGUAAAACUCUGUUGUUAGAGAAGAACAAGGAUGAGAGUAACUGUUCAUCCCUUGACGGUAUCUAACCAGAAAGCCACGGCUAACUACGUGCCAGCAGCCGCGGUAAUACGUAGGUGGCAAGCGUUGUCCGGAUUUAUUGGGCGUAAAGCGAGCGCAGGCGGUUU
rnacentral:rRNA from 1 species